rnacentral:rRNA from 1 species
UGCAGUCGAGCGAACAGAUAGGAGCUUGCUCCUUUGACGUUAGCGGCGGACGGGUGAGUAACACGUGGGUAACCUACCUAUAAGACUGGAAUAACUCCGGGAAACCGGGGCUAAUGCCGGAUAACAUUUAGAACCGCAUGGUUCUAAAGUGAAAGAUGGUUUUGCUAUCACUUAUAGAUGGACCCGCGCCGUAUUAGCUAGUUGGUAAGGUAACGGCUUACCAAGGCAACGAUACGUAGCCGACCUGAGAGGGUGAUCGGCCACACUGGAACUGAGACACGGUCCAGACUCCUACGGGAGGCAGCAGUAGGGAAUCUUCCGCAAUGGGCGAAAGCCUGACGGAGCAACGCCGCGUGAGUGAUGAAGGUCUUCGGAUCGUAAAACUCUGUUAUUAGGGAAGAACAAAUGUGUAAGUAACUAUGCACGUCUUGACGGUACCUAAUCAGAAAGCCACGGCUAACUACGUGCCAGCAGCCGCGGUAAUACGUAGGUGGCAAGCGUUAUCCGGAAUUAUUGGGCGUAAAGCGCGCGUAGGCGGUUUCUUAAGUCUGAUGUGAAAGCCCACGGCUCAACCGUGGAGGGUCAUUGGAAACUGGGAAACUUGAGUGCAGAAGAGGAAAGUGGAAUUCCAUGUGUAGCGGUGAAAUGCGCAGAGAUAUGGAGGAACACCAGUGGCGAAGGCGACUUUCUGGUCUGUAACUGACGCUGAUGUGCGAAAGCGUGGGGAUCAAACAGGAUUAGAUACCCUGGUAGUCCACGCCGUAAACGAUGAGUGCUAAGUGUUUAGGGGGGUUUCCGCCCCUUAGUGCUGCAGCUAACGCAUUAAGCACUCCGCCCGGGGGAGUACGACCGCAAGGUUGAAACUCAAAGGAAUUGACGGGGACCCGCACAAGCGGUGGAACCAGGUGGUUUAAUUCGAAGCAACGCGAAGAACCUUACCAAAUCUUGACAUCCUUUGACAACUCUAGAGAUAGAGCCUUCCCCUUCGG